AACGCGAAGAACCUUACCUACCCUUGACAUGGUCGGAACCCUGCUGAAAGGUGGGGGUGCUCGAAAGAGAACCGAUACACAGGUGCUGCAUGGCUGUCGUCAGCUCGUGUCGUGAGAUGUUGGGUUAAGUCCCGCAACGAGCGCAACCCUUGUCCCUAGUUGCUACGCAAGAGCACUCUAGGGAGACUGCCGGUGACAAACCGGAGGAAGGUGGGGAUGACGUCAAGUCAUCAUGGCCUUUAUGGCCGGGGCUACACACGUGCUACAAUGGCAGGUACAGAGGGAAGCCAACUCGCGAGAGGGAGCCAAUCCCAGAAAGCCUGUCGUAGUCCGGAUCGGAGUCUGCAACUCGACUCUGUGAAGUCGGAAUCGCUAGUAAUCGCAGAUCAGCAUUGCUGCGGUGAAUACGUUCCCGGGCCUUGUACACACCGGCUAC
rnacentral:rRNA from 1 species